rnacentral:lncRNA from 1 species
UCAACAUCCAGCAGUGCCCUUGCACUAGUUAAGAAAAAGCAACUGAAUUUGCAAAAGGGAGCUGCAAUGUUGGCUGAAUGUAAGCAGCAGCAGAAUCAAUCCCAUCACUGCCAAGACACAGUUGCUGAUGCAGGAUUCUGAACUUCAGAGGAAACAAAGUAAUUCUCCCUGUGGAGACAUUGAACCUGAGAUCAAAGAAGCUUUGAGGAGAGAAAGAGGCUGAGAGCAGAACUGCACCAGGCCAUUCAGAAAGGGUAUCUUGAAGAGAACUCCUGGAGUUUGGUUGUAAAGCAAGGUAAGUUCAGUGGACAGUGAAGGAGCCUCGUAUGAAAUCCUCUCACAAAACUGUCUCUGAGCCCAAAAUCAAUGGUCUGCUUCCUGUCACAUAACACAAGAAAGGUCUUUCAGCAAUGUGACUAUCAUGCUUCUGUUUCAUGCUGCCCCGCCUUCUGUCUGUGGUGGUGAAGUCUAACCCCUGAGGUUCAAACUGCCUUAGAGGUUUGAAAGCCUGAGAUACAUUUCUUGUAUUUUUUAACUCCUGGUGAAGUGAAAACAAUGGACCUCCUCUUCCUGCUGCUGUGCUUGCCCUGCUGUGAUGGACUUCACUGGAACUCUCUUACCCAAAAGAAGUCUUUCUUGCAUUUUGGGGGUGUGAGGAAAGCAAAUAAACAUCGUUUGGGGUUUCGUUUGUUUGUUUUGUUUUGUUUUGUUUUUUAGAGCUUAAAAACAAAAUGACUAAAAGUGGUUGACUCUGUUUCUCCUAGGCCUGGAACCAGAAAUAACCUGAGAACUUGCUGGUGUUGCAGUCUUCCAAGAGCUGCAAGAAAUAUCCGGGUACCCAGAGGUGGUAGUGAAACUACAGCACCUCGAACACAUGCACCCUGAUUGUAAUUGAUAGCUAUAAGCAUGGAAGAUUUGUCAUUCUUUAUAAAUAUGUUGUUUCAUUCAUUCUUCC